CCCUUUUUGGAGCAAUGGCAGAGCAGGCAGGUCUCCUUGCAACCGCCCUCCAGGCCCUCUUUACCAAGCAAAAGAAAGCCACUGACCCAGGAAAGGUGCCAUCCGGGGACUGAGGCUUUGGCCAGAGGCUGAAAUGAGACGACUAGAAAUGAGUAGCAGGACCCGUGAUCCUGCAGCCCCAGAAGAACUUUGUGGAAUGAGUUCUAUGCCUACAGAAGACACUGGCUGACUAGAUGCAUUUGGCAUUCGGCAUUCUGCACAUGGCUGACAGCAUAAGCACCGGCUGGAUUAGAAGGGGCAGCUGCUGGUUCUCUGGCAACUUCACGCCAAGGCCACCCCUGGAGUUGUGUCUACGCUACGUGGAGAAAAAUGAUACAUUUUGAAACAUUUUGGGCUUGGUGUGGUGACUUUUCAAGAGACUUUCAAAGCUCUUCAAUGAAAGUUGAAUUUAAAAAUCUGUGACACUUGAACCCAGUUUCUUGUAAAUGACUGUCACUGUGGUAAACUUUCUUGUGUUCCAGCCUCUCAAGCAGAACGUGACAAAUUAAUGCCUUUUUCUCAAGAAUAAGAGCAUACUUUGAAACUUUG